rnacentral:rRNA from 1 species
AGUCAACCUAACCUAUGGACGGGAAUAACCUCGGGAAACUGAGUAUAAUGCCCGAUAGAACACUAUACCUGGAAUGGUUUGUGUUCCAAAUGAUUUAUCGCCGUAGGAUGGGACUGCGGCCUAUCAGUUUGUUGGUGAGGUAAUGGCCCACCAAGACUAUUACAGGUACGGGCUCUGAGAGGAGUAGCCCGGAGAUGGGUACUGAGACACGGACCCAGGCCCUAUGGGGCGCAGCAGGCGAGAAAACUUUGCAAUGUGCGAAAGCACGACAAGGUUAAUCCGAGUGGUUUCUGCUAAAGAAACCUUUUGUCGGUCCUAGAAACACCGAUGAAUAAGGGGUGGGCAAGUUCUGGUGUCAGCCGCCGCGGUAAAACCAGCACCUCAAGUGGUCAGGAUGAUUAUUGGGCCUAAAGCAUCCGUAGCCGGCUCUGUAAGUUUUCGGUUAAAUCUGUACGCUCAACGUACAGGCUGCCGGGAAUACUGCAGAGCUAGGGAGUGGGAGAGGUAGACGGUACUCGGUAGGAAGGGGUAAAAUCCUUUGAUCUAUUGAUGACCACCUGUGGCGAAGGCGGUCUACCAGAGCACGUCCGACGGUGAGGGAUGAAAGCUGGGGGAGCAAACCGGAUUAGAUACCCGGGUAGUCCCAGCUGUAAACUAUGCAAACUCAGUGAUGCAUUGGCUUGUGGCCAAUGCAGUGCUGCAGGGAAGCCGUUAAGUUUGCCGCCUGGGAAGUACGUACGCAAGUAUGAAACUUA